rnacentral:tRNA from 1 species
GCCCGGCUGGCGAAACUGGUAUACGCAAGAGACUUAAAAUCUCUCGGGGUUUUCCCCUUGUGGGUUCGAGUCCCACGCCGGGCA